rnacentral:rRNA from 1 species
UACGUAGGGUGCGAGCGUUGCCCGGAUUUAUUGGGCGUAAAGAGCGUGUAGGCGGCCAGUUAGGUCCGUUGUGAAAACUCGAGGCUCAACCUCGAGACGCCGAUGGAAACCAACUGGCUAGAGUCCGGAAGAGGAGAGUGGAAUUCCUGGUGUAGCGGUGGAAUGCGCAGAUAUCAGGAGGAACACCAAUAGCGAAGGCAGCUCGCUGGGACGUUACUGACACUGAGGCGCGAAAGCGUGGGGAGCGAACAGG